GACAGAGGGUGCAAACGUUGUUCGGAAUUACUGGGCGUAAAGCGCGUGUAGGCGGCAAGGCAAGUCGGAUGUGAAAGCCCACGGCUCAACCGUGGAAGUGCACCCGAAACUGCCUAGCUAGAGUCUCGGAGAGGAAGGUGGAAUGCUUGGUGUAGAGGUGAAAUUCGUAGAUAUCAAGCGGAACACCGGUGGCGAAGGCGGCUCACUGGACUGGUACUGACGCUGAGGCGACGAAAGGCGUGGGGAGCAAACGGG
rnacentral:rRNA from 1 species